AGUGAGGAAUUUUUCACAAUGGACGAAAGUCUGAUGGAGCAAUACCACGUGAACGAUGAAGGUCUUCUGAUUGUAAAGUUCUUUUAUUUAGGAAAAAAAGCGCGCUAGGAAAUGAGCGCGCCUUGAUGGUACUAAUUGAAUAAGUGACAGCUAACUAUGUGCCAGCAGCUGCGGUAAAACAUAGGUCACAAGCAUUAUCCGGAUUUAUUGGGCGUAAAGGAAGCGUAGGCGGGGAGGCUGAUCCAUUGUUAAAGGCAUUUGCUCAACAAAUGUGUGCGAUGGAGAUCUCCUCCCUAGAGUUAAUCAGGGGGUACUGGAAUUCAAUGUGUAGCGGUGGAAUGCGUAGAUAUAUUGAGGAACACCAGAGGCUAAGGCGAGUACCUGGGAUAUAACUGACGCUGAGGCUUGAAAGCGUGGGGAGCAAAUGGGAUUAGAUACCCCAGUAGUCCACGCCGUAAACGAUGAGCAUUAGGUAUUUGAUGUUAGGUCGAGUGCUGUAGCUAACGCGUUAAAUGCUCCGCCUGGGUAGUAUAUAUGCAAAUAUGAAACUCAAAGAAAUUGACGGGGACC
rnacentral:rRNA from 1 species